rnacentral:rRNA from 1 species
GACGAACGCUGGCGGCGUGCUUAACACAUGCAAGUCGAACGGAAAGGCCCUGCUUUUGUGGGGUGCUCGAGUGGCGAACGGGUGCGUAACACGUGCGUAACCUGCCCUUGACUUUGGGAUAACUUCAGGAAACUGGGGCUAAUACCGGUUAGGAGCUCCUGCUGCAUGGUGGGGGUUGGAAAGUUUCGGCGGUGGGGGAUGGACUCGCGGCUUAUCAGCUUGUUGUUGGGGUAGUGGCUUACCAAGGCUUUGACGGGUAGCCGGCCUGAGAGGGUGACCGGCCACAUUGGGACUGAGAUACGGCCCAGACUCCUACGGGAGGCAGCAGGGGGGAAUAUUGCACAAGGGGCGGAAGCCUGAUGCAGCAACGCCGCGUGCGGGAUGACGGCCUUCGGGUUGUAAACCGCUUUCGCCUGUGACGAAGCGUGAGUGACGGUAAUGGGUAAAGAAGCACCGGCUAACUACGUG